AUGAUAAUAAAAUUUCAUAAGAUAUGUUUGGCUGCCUGUCCAUGCAUUCCAAACAUUCACCUAAUAGUUACGUUUCCUUUAUCACGCAAAGAAGAGCCUCUCACCGAGUACGAGAAGGUUAGGGCUAGAAAUAUCAUGAGGAACAAUCGAAUGUUCCAGUCCCAUGGCAUCGGUGCAAUAGCGUCGAUGAUUAGGAAAACAAAUGGUGUACAAGAAGGUAGAAUUGAUGAGGUUCAAGAAGGUAGUGGAGUUAUCAAUGAUGACCCAGAGUACAAUCCUAAGGAGGAUGAAGUUAUUGAUGGAGAGGAAGUGGAUGAUGUUGUAGUGAACAAGACUGUUAAGGUGCAAACUCUGUCUUGCUUGGAGGGUUGGGGUUCUUUCAUGCAAUGUUAUUCCUUGUGCUCACAUAUUUCUCUUGUGAUCUAA
rnacentral:rRNA from 1 species